UUUUACGAGAUUUAACACUUGAUUACGCGAAUACCAAUGAAUAAAAAGCCAUGAAUUAUUAAUAUUAACUCAUGGUUAUGAACACACCCCUAGUUCAUAACAUUCUCCUUAACCGAAACUGUGUGAACAGAUUCGUUGUUAUACGCAAUGAUCACCCCAAUCAUUGCGUAUUUUUUUUGCUCAGAAUUUA
rnacentral:sRNA from 1 species